rnacentral:lncRNA from 1 species
CAAGGUUUAACGGUCAGAUUAUUUAUACAAUAUUGAAAACAUAACAUUUAUGAAGCCAUGAUGUUUAUUUUUUAUUGAAUACAUCGCAUAAUAUUAUUCAUUACGACUAUAUGUGUUAUGAACAGCAACAACUUUUCAAAAAGCUCCGUCUUACAUGACAAUCAUAUGGUUUAGAUUGUUUAUCUAUAUUCUCCCGAAAAAAGGCUAAAGGGAAUAAAUUAUGUAGUGUCACCAUUGUAUGCUAUACUGUUUUGGCAAUUAAUGCCAUUACGCCAGCAUGUUUUUGGAAAUUAUUCUCAAUCAACAAAAAAUUAUAUUUCUGCACAUAAACUUCUUCAAAGAUCUUCAAAGUUCUUAACAGCUUCCAGGGACUUGAAGGACCUCGUUCCUUCUUUAUCAAACAUUUCGUUUUGGCUUUUUGCAAGCUGUAAUUUCAAUUUUCUUUUCCAAUUUUCUCCCGUAAUUUUUAAACACUAUG